rnacentral:tRNA from 2 species
GGAGGCACGUAUUGGCGUACUUAUUGGUCUUGAAAACCAUGAUGGCUAAUUAAGUUUGGUCGUGGGGGUUCGACUCCCUCUGUCUCCGC